rnacentral:rRNA from 1 species
GGACUACUGGGGUAUCUAAUCCUGUUUGCUCCCCACGCUUUCGCGCCUCAGCGUCAGCAAUGGCCCAGCGAGCCGCCUUCGCCACCGGUGUUCUUCCUGAUCUCUACGCAUUCCACCGCUACACCAGGAAUUCCACUCGCCUCUACCAUGCUCGAGCCGAGCAGUCCCGCGUGCCGUUCCGGGGUUGAGCCCCGGGAUUUCACACGCGGCUUACCCAGCCGCCUACACGCCCUUUACGCCCAGUGAUUCCGGACAACGCUCGCACCCUCUGUAUUACCGCGGCUGCUGGCAC